CCCUGCCCUGCAGGUGCCAGGUGUGGCUGCCGAGUCCCGUGUGUGUGUGUGUAAGUGGGUGGCAGAGGAGAGAAAUCCUAUGUCUAGGCUCAGUGUUCUAACCUAUGAACAUCUAAGUGAACAGUAGUCUAACACU
rnacentral:snoRNA from 1 species